rnacentral:rRNA from 1 species
CCUACGGGUGGCUGCAGUGGUGGAUAUUGCACAAUGGGGGAAACCCUGAUGCAGCGACGCCGCGUGGGCGAAGAAGUAUUUCGGUAUGGUAAGCCCUAUCAGCAGGGAAGAAGAAAUGACGUUACCUGCGUAAGAAGCACCGGCUAAAUACGUGCCAGCAGCCGCGGUAAUACGGGUGGUGCAAGCGUUAUCCGGAUUUAAUGGGUGUAAAGGGAGCGCAGGCGGCACGGCCAGCCUGAUGUGAAAGCCCGGGGGCCAACCGCGGGACUGCAGUGGGAACUGCCGGGCUGGAGUGCCGGAGAGGUAGGCGGAAUGCGUGGUGUAGCGGUGAAAUGCGUAGAUAUUAGGCGGAACACCAGUGGCGAAGGCAGCCUACUGGACGGUGACUGACGCUGAGGCUCGAAAGCGUGGGGAGCAAACAGGAUUAGAUACCCUUGUAGUC